CGUCUCCACAUCCAAGCCUGGCUGGGAAACCGUGUCUGAAGCUCAAAAUCUACGUCAAACCCACCAAUGACUCUGUGUAUGAGUCUCCGGAGCCCUUCCUGACGGACGACACCACCGGUGGAUGCAGCCUCGUUCUGCCCGGUAACUCCCUGCUGCCCACCAUGUUGCUCCUCCUCCUCUUCAUCUCCUCAUAGCAACUCCUGCUCUGCUCCUCUUCCUCCUGCUGUUGGACUGCUCUCCGUCCUCCCUGAGACAGGAAACUAAUACAGCAAGGCCCUCCUCUCCCUGACCUCCGACCUUCCCCUGAACGCCACUCAGCAGCUCAGCCAAUCAGAGGAGGCCAAGGUCACUGGGGGGGAGGAGCCAGGAGACGCUCUGUGAUGGAUGUUUCUGCUCCGACAAAGUCUCCAUUGACCCCCAUGUUAACACUGAUGCAUACAAAUAUAUAUAUACAAACACAUAUAUUAAGGCAAUGACUAAACAUUAUUUUCCGCAUUAAUUGUUUAUAAAAUGGCUGAAUAAUUGUAAAAAAAAAGGCAACAUCUUAAAAAGUCCCAAAACACAAUAUUAGAAACACAGAUUUGUGCCAAAUAUUUGCCUGGAAUCAGAAUACUUUAUUUAUCCCGCUCGGGGAAAUUAGGUAAACAUGACGGUCAGUGGAGUCCAGUUUCAGUCCAAGGAGAAGUGAAACACAUCAAGGCUGUUUAUAAUCUUUGGAUUUUCAUCACAGCUUCAAUAAAAGACGGAUCAUCAGCAGCAUAAAGAAACUCUAAGACGCCAGCUUCAGUCGGAGCAGCGUUCACCGGCAGCUCUCGGUUCUGCUGCAGCCUACAUCCGUUUUUAUCUCUUUGCACUGAUGACUACAGUCACAGAAACCAGCCACAACUGUCAAACACAGCAGGUCAUGUAGCAAAAGUUAACAUGGAACCUUUAACCCUUCAUAAAGGGUGAAACUAACUUGUUGGGAUGUCAUUGGGGACAUUUUCAAACUUACAUAUUUAUCUCACAACUGCUGGUAGAACACAUCUCACAGAGUUUGAGAUCUGACUAACGGAAAAUAAAAUAUUUGUUACAUAAAUAUGUUUGCUAAUGUAGCUUCAGACCAAUGGGUCAAGCUUUUGUAGCUUCAUAGACAAGGGGAAGAGCUAACGUAGUAGCCUAUCACAGAGGGACAGCGGGUUUAUGUAGCUUUUAAAGUAAUGCGUUACAAGUGUCGCCGUACAGACCUGCGCUGCUAUAGCUUUACAGACCAACAGGACAAGCUAACGUAGCUUCACAGAAAUAUGGGAGGAGUUAACAUAGAUUCACAGACAUAUAGGAUGGGCUAAAGUAGCUUCACAGACGCACAGGACAUGCUAACGUAGGUUCAGAGACAUACAGGCUGAGCUAACUUAAGCUAAAAGACAAACAGGGGUAUCUAAUGUAACCUCACAGACAUAUGGGAAGAGCUAAAGGAAAUUCACAGACACACUGGAUGAACUAACUUAGCUUCACAGACAUA